CAUGUUGAAGGCCUCGAAAGCUUGACCUUGGUUAGAUGCACCAUCACCAUAUAGAGCAAAAGUAGUAGUGGGUUUUUCAAGAUACUUCUGUGCGAAACCAAUACCAGCACCCAAAGGAAUUUGAGCACCAACAAUACCAUUACCACCAUAGAAGUUUUUGGCGAAAAUGUGCAUAGAACCACCCUUGCCCUUGGAAGCACCACAUUGACGUCCCAUGAGCUCACCAAUAAUGCUUCGAAUUGACAAACCACGGGUAUAAGCAAAACCGUGGCAUCUAUAAGAUGUGAUAAUACUGUCGUCAAGUGUAAUAGCACCUUCAAUUCCUGCAGCUACAGCUUCUUGGCCAAUGCUAAGAUGACAGAAUCCACGAAUCUUCUUAGCCUUAUACAAGGCAUCGCAUGCAAGUUCUAGACGACGAAUAGUCACCAUCUUCUCGUACAAACCCAAUAACUCUCCCUUUGUAACUUCGAUUUCAGUAGAAGGGACAUCGAUCUUGUAUCCUUCGAAUACACUAUCAUCUAAUUUAACAGGAAAUGGCUUGUCAUGUUCCUCAGGCACAUGAGCCGGAUUGGCACGAGAAGUGGUUGCGUCUGUGGUGACCCGACGAAGGCCAUCGAUCAAGCCCUUUUGGUUCACAAGAACCUUGGGAACUGUUCCAAUCUUCGUACAAGUUCGAAACAUUCCAGUGAUAAGCAAACAAGUCAAUCAAGCGUUGACGAACGUUUAAAAUCUCGCCUUUCAAGAAAAGUGGAAUUUAACUUAACACAAAAGAAUCAAAAUAAACGACUUUUUCAAUCGUUAAAUCUAGAAUUCACUUAGUAUACAAGAAAGUUGUUGGUGGUCGUAGUGUGAGUAAAGGCUGAAUAGCAGCACACUAUGUAGCACCGUUAUGGUGGGCAUAAGCAGGUAGGUAGAUAUUUCUCUAUCCAAAAAGAUCUAAUCUACAGAAUAACAAGCGACACCGAUAUCGGAAUGAUCAGACUUAUCGGCUGAACUAUUUUUUUUUUUUUCAGACUAAAGAAGGAAGAGACAAAAUACAAUUAACUGUUAAAAAUAAAAACCUAUUUGCGAGACAUUAAAUUUUGAAUGUUUUAAACCACAAAUUCCUUAGAUUUGUUGCUUUCUGAAUGAGAAAAGAUUCAUUACUAAACACUUUUUCAAAAGCUAUAGCAAUAUAUAAAUAGAAAACUGCCCACCGAUAAAAAGGGCGAAACAAUAUCACAUCAAAAUUGUAAAAGUUUAAGUCAAGCUCUGCUUUUUUGAUAUUUGUAAACUUAGUAAAGCCUUAGGAGUUGACUAAGAGGAACAUAUGAUGGAAAGCUUCAUUCUUUAAAUUAUGCU